AGCUACAGUCCCACUUGUGUCUUGGAAGGGGAUCAUGAUUUCCGCUGUGAUGCCUGUUUUCUGGGCUACGAAGGACAAUAUUGUGAGAGGUGCUCAUUGGGUUACUAUGGGAACCCUCAGAUGCCAGGCGGCAGCUGCCAGAGUUGUGACUGCAGCCCGCACGGCUCUGUCCACGGUGACUGUGACCGCGGGUCCGGGCAGUGCGUCUGCCGGCCGGGGGCCACGGGGCUCCGCUGCGGGGAUUGUGAACCGAGGCACAUUUUGGUGGAAAGCGACUGUGUGUCCUGUGAUGAUGACUGUGUGGGUGUUCUGCUGAAUGAUUUGGCUCAUGUUGGGGAUGCCAUCCUGUCUGUGAACCUCACCAGCACCAUCCCUCUCCCAUAUGGAGUUUUGUCAGACCUGGAAAAUAGAACGAAGUCUCUCCGGGUAAGUACUGCAAAUACAGAGAUUGAUAGAAGCGUGCGUCACAGGAAGUUGAAGAGUUGGUUGGGACCCUAGGGGUCAUUCUGUCUGUCCUCCACCAGUGCAGGAGUCUCAGUCCCAGUGUCUGGUGCUGGGACGUCCCCAGCCUUCUCCCUUUGACCCUGACCGAGAAUUGCAUCGUCCACGUGAUUACUGGUUUCACCGUGCAACAGCCCUGAUUGUUCAAGACUUGAUCCACAGUUGCCUCCUGUGUAUAAAUUCUUCCUCUUUGCUCCUCCUACUACCUUGUGGGAUAAGACAAGGUCCACUCGCCCCUGUUUAUAACAGGUCUUUGGACAGAAAGCAGCUCUCUUAAAACAAACACAGAAAAUGAAUUGAGACGGCAUUGUCUUUAACGUGCUGAAUGAAGAGGAACUGUUUUCCAUCAAUGUAUUAUUCUUAACUGGAGUUGAAGGCCACAAAGGUUCCUCCUCCCUCAAAGACUAUAUAAAAAUCUCUGGGGCUAAAUCAUAGUUUUAUGUUUAGUUAAAAUCUGUGUUUUGAUCUGGGUCCAAAAGACGAUGGGAAGGUAAGAAGUUGACUUGCUAGACAGCAUUUUUUAUUCUAAUUAGGGGAAAAAAUGAGUCUAAAUUUGGCCCAAAGCCUAUGCUUUAGAAUUUGAGGUAUUUAAUUCACCAUGUCAUGCCAUAAUGCCAA